rnacentral:lncRNA from 1 species
UGGAAAAGCUUAAAACCCUACCCACCUCUCUUCUCUUCUUCUCAAGUAUCUUGCAAAUCCAAUUCUAAUUGACGGCCGACCAUCGUUCACAGGCGAGUUUGUGCUCUUUCUCUGGCAUCUUCUAAUUCUCCUCUUCUAUUGGAAAGGUGAUUUCAACGAGUUAGUGCAUUAGGCUCCUGAAUUGAUUUUUAUGUGACCUAUGCAAAAUUUUCACUGGUUUUUAUGCUUAUGAUUUAAUGGUUGAAGAAAAAAAAGAAGAAAGAAGACUUUCUUUGGCCUUUGAAAUUGUGAUGCAUAAUGUUCUAGGCAAUAGGCAUUGAAUAAGGAUUUCUCAAUUUACUCUUUCGAUAUAAAGGUUCUGGACAAAUAAUAAAUAAAAACCAAGUUUCUAGAGGUUGAAGAAAUGAAUCAGUGUAGAUGGGUUUCAAGGCAUGAUUGGAGGGAAUGGAUAGGGGAGAAUUGGACCUUGUGAGAGGUAAAAAGGUUAUUUCCUCAUUAGCUGGAAUAGGGGUUUGUGUGUUUGGCUUUGAUUAUUUUGUAACACAGAGUGUAUAUGUGUGUGGCCCUAAAUUUGAAAAAGAAAUACGACAAAAUGAUAAGAAGAUUAUGAUUAUUGUGUUUAUUAUAUUUUCAAUAAUGUUAUUAGUUGAUUUAAUAAAACUUUGUUAAAUUUAUAAUCUUUAUUGCAAAUUUUUAUUUACAUGGUAUUCAAUUCAAUGUCAACGAUUAUGGAGAGAUACUUUAAAAGGAAAGCUUCAUUUUUUAUUGGAGGUCAAAAUAUUGAUAGAAAAAAAAUCUAGCAAUGCCCGUGUGAUUGCUCAAGAUGAAAGGGAUAUUCAAGUUAAAAGUGAUAUUGGGAACGAACGUAAUAAUCGGGGUGAAGUGAUGUUGACCAUCAAAAUGAUGUUAUUCAGGAAGAAAGUGAAGUUGUUCGAGAUGAAAAUGAUGUUGUCCGGGAUGAAAUAAAUGUUCAGGGUAAAAUUAAUGUUGUACAACUUUCUAUAGAUCUUGGACUACGAAUUCCGAUUAUGGAAUAUCAUGUUAAUGUUCGAGACAAAGUUCGAAUAGAAUGUAUACAAAUGGGUCAUUGUCAGCUUUUCAAGCUCAAAUUUCCACAGAAAAAAUAUGGAAAAUCUUCAUUGAAGCAUUUUCAAUCUUCUCGAUUUUACGAGUUUCCUUCUUGGUUGGAGUAUAGUAGAGAGAAAUAUGCUACAUUUUGCUUUUACUGUUAUCUUUUUAAAUCAGGUGUGGAACAAGAAGGUGGUAACACUUUUUAUUGAGCGAGGGUUCUCAAAUUGGAAAAGUAAAGAAAAACUCCAAUAGCAUGUUGGAAAUCACAAUAGUGCACACAUUAAAGCUCGAAUUAAGUGCGAAGCUUUUAUAAAUCAAGAAAAAAAUUCAGGCUAUUUUCUUGAAAUAAUCACAACAAUCAUGACAUGAAUAGCGAAUUCAUUUGAGUGCAUCAAUUGAUUGUGUUCAAUUUCUUCUAAGACAAGGACUUGCAUUUUGUGGACCUGAUGAAUAUGAAGAUACAAAUAAUCAAGGAAAUUUUCUUGAAUUAUUACAUUUUUGGCUGAUCAUAAUGAGGAGAUUAAAGCUAUUACUUUCAAGAAUGCUCCUGAUAGUCUCAAAUUAACAUCAACUGACAUCCAAAAAGAUAUUGUAAGUGCUGCUACUUUUGAAACAAUCAGUGUUAUUAUCAAUGAUAUUGGUGAUUGUUUAUUUUCUAUUCUAGUUGAUGAAUCGCGUGACAUCUCAGUUAAGGAACAAAUGUCUAUUGUUUUUCAUUAUGUGAACAAGAAUGGAUGUGUAGUUGAAUGUUUUGUAGGCAUAGAGCAUGUUUUGAAUACCAUAGCUCUCUCCCUUAAAGUAGCUAUUGAUUGCUUAUUCUCUAGAUAUAAAUUAAGUAUAUCUCGCUUAAGAGGUUAAGGUUAUGAUGGAGCUAGUAAUAUGCAAGGUGAAUUUAAUGGUCUCAAAGCACUUAUUAAAAAGAAAACCCAAGUGCUUUCUACAUUCAUUGCUUCACUCAUCAACUUCAUCUAGCCUUUGUUGCUAUAACAAACAAGCAUGUAGAGAUUGAAGCUUUUUUUGAUUUGGUUGAUAGAGUGGUGAAUGUUGUUGUAGGAUCAGCUCAAUGAUGUGAUCUUCUUCAAGAGAAGCAAAGACUUCGAAUUGUUGAGGCAUUCAAUUACGGUGAAUUAUCAAGUUGACGAGGCCUUAAUCAACAAACUACCCUAAAAGGUGAUACACGUUGGAGUUCUCACUGUAAUUCUUUGAUUAACUUUAUUCAAAUGUUUUCACCUACAAUUGAUGUACUUGAAACAAUUGCUGAGGAU